rnacentral:tRNA from 1 species
GCCCUUGUAGCUUAAUGGAUAAAGUGCCUGGCUUCGAACCAGGUGAUGGGGGUUCGAUUCCCUCCGAGGGCACCA